UUCUCUUAAGACAGACAGGAGAGAAGAGGUGAUCGACUUCGCAUAUCCUCACGACCAAGAACACCUUCGCAUCUUCACGAGAUCUCCCAAAGCUAGGAGCAGAGUGCUGGCCAUUUUGUCACCGUUUACGUCACAGGUGUGGCUGACCAUCAUAGCGUGCACCUUCUUCAUGGGUCCCGUCGUCUAUGCCGAGUCGAAAAUCAGGGAGCGGAUCGAGGGGCGAGGCCCCCAGGACCUGGAAUUACAGUACUCCGCCUUCAACAUGUUCAGGAGCCUCGUCAACCAAGGGAACGAUCUCACUCUGAGAAGCUGGUCCCAGAGAUUCAUCACCGUCUCUUGGAUGCUCUUCUGUUUUAUCAUUUCGGCGCUCUAUUCCGGAACGCUGACCGCGGUGCUAGCAAUUCCAGCCUACGAGAAACCAAUCGAUUCCCUAACCGACCUCGCGAAGGCUGUGGAAGAUGGGUUCACCCUUGGUGUAACAAGAGACACGAC